GACGAACGCUGGCGGCGUGCUUAACACAUGCAAGUCGAACGGAAAGGCCCUGCUUUUGUGGGGUGCUCGAGUGGCGAACGGGUGAGUAACACGUGAGUAACCUGCCCUUGACUUUGGGAUAACUUCAGGAAACUGGGGCUAAUACCGGAUAGGAGCUCCUGCUGCAUGGUGGGGGUUGGAAAGUUUCGGCGGUUGGGGAUGGACUCGCGGCUUAUCAGCUUGUUGGUGGGGUAGUGGCUUACCAAGGCUUUGACGGGUAGCCGGCCUGAGAGGGUGAGCAGCCACACUGGGACUGAGACACGGCCCGGGCUCCUACGGGAGGCAGCAGGGGGGAAUGUUGGACAAUGGGCGAAAGCCGGAUCCAGCAAUGCCGCGUGAGUGAUGAAGGCCUUAGGGUUGGAAAGCUCUUUUACCCGGGAUGAUAAUGACAGUACCGGGAGAAUAAGCUCCGGCUAACUCCGUG
rnacentral:rRNA from 1 species